UUGGAAUGAACAAAAGUUGCACCCGAUGCACCAGAUACACCUUGAGAACACGGUUCAUCGGAUGGAACAUCGCCAUUGUAAAUUUCAAAGCCAAGCGGAAGGAACAUUGGAUUGGCGUUUGUUUUUUUCGAUUUUAAGAAAAACUAAAUAAAACAAAAAACACCUUCAUUUAAAGAAUAAAGUUCUGUAACACAUCGUAGUCGGGCCGGGACCAUUCCAGGUGCUAUCAUUCUAGAGGAAUCUAGUGUUGCAGGUGUUUUGGUCUUAUUGCAAACGACGCAUCACAAAAAAUUGCUUGGUUUCGAUUACUGCAACGCAACAGGGCCAGGAUGGUUAGAACAAGGCUCAGAACGCUUCUUGAGAUCAGUGCACAGUUUUAUACCUCAAACGGAAUGCAUCGAAUCAGCGCCAGAAGCGGUUAUAAAAGAAACUGUUUGAACGUGUUUUCCAAUUGACUAUUUCAUCGCCCUUUCACUGUGUUCUGUUUGAGGCCAACAAUGUAAAAAACGUGAUAAACGUAUUUAAUUUAUUUGCAAUAAAUUUUCUUUAAAA